rnacentral:lncRNA from 1 species
UCCCCCUCGAUGUGCUCCAGAUCCUUUCUCUUCCCAAGGCCUUGGUUAAUGGAUCUGCCAGAUUAUUAGUAGAUUUAAUAUAAUCUAUACUGAUAAUUCCAUUAUUCAUAUAUGAUCUCACAGUACUGUGUUUUCUUCUCACGGAUCUGGAUUUACCGUUAUAAUAACGAUUUCUUACUCUACCAAUAGCAGCAAUGCUAUCACAGUGUAUUAAC